GUCUCAGUAGCAUAGUGGUUAGUGCACAGCCCCGAAAAGGUUGAGACGCGAGUUCGAAUUCCGCCUGAGAUU
rfam:Nippostrongylus brasiliensis genome assembly, scaffold: NBR_scaffold0001647